GCAAGUCGAACGGUAACAGAGGAGCUUGCUUCUUGCUGACGACCGGCGCACGGGUGCGUAACGCGUAUGCAACCUACCUAUAACUAAGGGAUAGCCCAGAGAAAUUUGGAUUAAUACCUUAUAGUACUAGAGACUCGCAUGAUGAACUAGUUAAAGAUUUAUCGGUUAUAGAUGGGCAUGCGUUAGAUUAGCUAGUUGGUAAGGUAAAGGCUUACCAAGGCGACGAUCUAUAGGGGGUCUGAGAGGAUGAUC
rnacentral:rRNA from 1 species